CCCUUAGACGUCCUGGGCUGCACGCGCGCUACACUGAAGCUAUCAACACGUUUUCCCUCCCUGAGAAGGGCGGGUAACCUUUUGAAUCAGCUUCGUGGUAGGGAUCGGGGCUUGCAAUUGUUCCCCGUGAACCAGGAAUUCCUAGUAGACGCGAGUCAUAAGCUCGCAUCGAUUAAGUCCCUGCCCUUUGUACACACCGCCCGUCGCUACUACCGAUUGAACGUUUUAGUGAGGCAUUUGGACCGACGCAUCUCAGUUUAACCGCUGGUUUGUGUUGGAAAGACUUCCAAACUUGAGCGUUUAGAGGAAGUAAAAGUCGUAACA
rnacentral:rRNA from 1 species